GGAGGCUACAGCUCAGUGGUAGAGUGUGUGAUUAGCAUGCAUGAGGUCCUGGGUUAAAUUCCCAGUAUCUCCA
rnacentral:tRNA from 1 species